CUACGGGUUGCAGCAGUGAGGAAUAUUGCACAAUGGGGGGAACCCUGAUGCAGCAACGCCGCGUGGAGGAUGACGCAUUUCGGUGUGUAAACUCCUUUUAUAUAUCAAGAAAAUGACGGUAGCAUAUGAAUAAGCACCGGCUAACUCCGUGCCAGCAGCCGCGGUAAUACGGAGGGUGCAAGCGUUACUCGGAAUCACUGGGCGUAAAGGACGCGUAGGCGGGUUGGAAAGUCAGGUGUGAAAUCCUACAGCUUAACUGUAGAACUGCACUUGAAACUUCUACUCUAGAGUAUGGGAGGGGGAGAUGGAAUUAGUGGUGUAGGGGUAAAAUCCGUAGAUAUCACUAGGAAUACCUAAAGCGAAGGCGAUCUCCUGGAACAUUACUGACGCUAAGGCGUGAAAGCGUGGGGAGCAAACAGGAUUAGAUACCCUCGUAGUC
rnacentral:rRNA from 1 species